UACGGGGGGGGCUAGCGUUGUUCGGAAUUACUGGGCGUAAAGCGCGCGUAGGCGGACCUGCAAGUCGGGGGUGAAAGCCCGAGGCUCAACCUCGGAACUGCCUUCGAUACUGCGGGUCUCGAGUCCGGGAGAGGUGAGUGGAAUUCCUAGUGUAGAGGUGAAAUUCGUAGAUAUUAGGAAGAACACCAGUGGCGAAGGCGGCUCACUGGCUCGGUACUGACGCUGAGGCGCGAAAGCGUGGGGAGCAAACAGG
rnacentral:rRNA from 1 species